rnacentral:rRNA from 1 species
UACGAAGGGGGCUAGCGUUGCUCGGAAUCACUGGGCGUAAAGGGUGCGUAGGCGGGUCUUUAAGUCAGGGGUGAAAUCCUGGAGCUCAACUCCAGAACUGCCUUUGAUACUGAAGAUCUUGAGUCCGGGAGAGGUGAGUGGAACUGCGAGUGUAGAGGUGAAAUUCGUAGAUAUUCGCAAGAACACCAGUGGCGAAGGCGGCUCACUGGCUCGGUACUGACGCUGAGGUGCGAAAGCGUGGGGAGCAAACAGG